UACUUGGCGAAUUUAUAUUGUCUCAAGUUGAGCUGGUAAUUCUCGUGUAUAAAGAAACUUUGAAUGUUGUUUUACUAGUCGGAGUGAAUGGAAGACUCGCACAUAUUUCUAUACUGCCCUGAUGAUAUUGACAUCUGUUUAAUUUAUGCAAACUCAAAUAGUAGUCUAAAUUACCUAUAACCACUUAAACCAUAGUUCAUUUACUUUGUGCAUCCAGGGGCGGAUCCAGGGCCCGGGCUGCAGCCUGGGGCGAGACCAUGGAGUCCCUUUAACCUAUGUGCUGUUUAGCCUAACAAAAUGAGGCUUAGGAGACAAAAUUAGACUAUUUUAGGUGUGAUUCAACAGCUCAGCCCGGGGCGCAGCCCCAUUCUGAAUCCGCUCCUGUGUGCAUCCAUUUACUUCAUUUACCUGCAACCACUUAUACCAAAAUGUGCCUGCUCUGCCCUGAUGCACCAGAUACAUUUUGGUACUAAUAGGUACUUUUCCAGUAGUGGGCAUCCUUUCAGGUUUCAUAAACUGUAAAGGCAUAAACACAUGUGAGCCUCAUAAACUCACACCAUAUUUAAGGUAUAUGGGCUCAUUUUCCCACAAUAUAUAUUCAACUCAAAAGUUUACCAUACUUGUGAUUUAUGUAUUGUUUAUGUCAACAAUAAAUCUUUAUUCCAUCUUGUUGUCUUCCAUGCACAAGGAAAACCCUGAUGUGAUAAUUUGAUGUUAAACAGCUGGAAAGUGAUGUUUCUCGACUUCGUAGCUGCAAAAAUAUGAUUGGUUCUACACUACACAUUACCUUCCCUUUGUCCAGCAUUGAUGGAUGUCUAGACAGGUUUGAUUUGCUUCCGAAUUCUUCCUUCUUGGAACUCUUUUCCCCCUAUGACAGUUGAGUUUUGAUAGUUUAAUCUCAUGUGUUUAGUACAGUGUAUGUAUGUUACACAUAUUUGCUCUUUUUCUAAGGAAAUUGCACUUUUUAGAUCAUCUUCAUUACAUUAUUUGGAAUGCACAGUUGGGCUUUUAGCCUACUCCAUCCAUCUUCUAUGCAUGCUUAUUUAUUUUCGUAGUGUUCAUGUUUGUCACGAGAGUACAUUACCAAAUGCACUCAACUAUACUGACUACUCUCUCUGUUCCAAACUAUAAGGUGGUUUUGGCAUUUCAAAUUUCAUAGUUUGUGGAUGAUCUAUGAUCCCUUUAUGUUUGUGGAUGUCCACCCAUGAUUCUUAUUUAAUUUUGAGGAAAUUUUGCCGCUUGAUGAUUCAUAGACAGUUGUCAUGCUGGACUGCUUACACAUGGUUAUAUAUUGGUCAGACAUUCACCUUCUAUAAUGUAUGUCUACUUCUGAAUUAUAAUGUAUGUCAUACAUUUUUAUUUGUUACUUCUCUAAGAAAACUGCACCUCCAAGGUUGCACCUCCAAGGUCAUCUUGGUUAUGUUAUUUUUAUAAAUCCCUUGUUUGUCUUGGAAUGUUAAUUCAGACUUUUAGCCCUUCAUCAUAUUAGCAUGCUCGUUUGACGUUUACCACAAGAGCACAGGAUAAGACUUAGUUCAAUCUCGAAAUGCAAGUUUGACUUGUAGAAGCAUAUGUACGGCAGAUUAUAUGUUGAGAAUACAGUUGUGCAUCAAGGAAACAAAUGAGCACUCUAAACAAAGUUCUGAGUGUCUCAUGUUUUAACUGGACUUUGACCAACAUUUGAACAAAUCUCUGUUUGAAUUCUUUCUAGUAGUUUGUGGAUUUCCACCCAUGAAUCACUUGCAGAAAUUUAUCCCCUACCCAAUGAACUUUACUUUUCUCGGAUUCGUGAACAUUCAGACUGCUGAUACACACUUAUAAACAAUAGUUCAAACACUCUGUUUUUUAUGGAUGCACUGUAUAUAUCAUCUAGUUUAUGCUUUAUUAAAGAAGUAAUUAUGUUAGUACUGCUCUGCAUUAUUCACCUCAGUUUUAGUGCAUAAUUUUUUUAGGCAAAGUUUUAGUGUAUAAUUUGGACUGGUCAUUGUGCAUUCCAUGAUACUGAUCCGUUAUUUCUAGAAUUUUUUAAGCUAACCACGAUACUUUUUGUUUAUACCAAUUUUUAUGUUUCAUCUAAGUACUUUGUUAGCUUGGAAACUGUUUUAUAAAUUUAACUGAGAGCUACUGUGUUUGUCUAGUUUAACAUUAUUUGAUUUGAUCUGGAACUACAGCAGGUUGUCUGACGAGGGCUCAGAUCUGCUACAAAAUGCUAUUGUAAAUUUUGCGAAUAUCAUUAUUGGUGACAUUGCCAUCAAUCUUGCUACUCUCGAAAGAGGAAU
rnacentral:lncRNA from 1 species